CAGCCAUAUCACGUUGAAAUGCCAAUUCUCAUACGAUCACCGAAGUUAAGCAACAUUGAGACUGGUCAGUACCUAGAUGGGUGAUCACUUGGGAAUACUAGGUGCAGU